UACGAAGGGGGCUAGCGUUGCUCGGAAUCACUGGGCGUAAAGGGUGCGUAGGCGGGUCUUUAAGUCAGGGGUGAAAUCCUGGAGCUCAACUCCAGAACUGCCUUUGAUACUGAGGAUCUUGAGUUCGGGAGAGGUGAGUGGAACUGCGAGUGUAGAGGUGAAAUUCGUAGAUAUUCGCAAGAACACCAGUGGCGAAGGCGGCUCUCUGGAACGCAACUGACGCUGAGACGCGAAAGCGUGGGGAGCAAACAGG
rnacentral:rRNA from 1 species